GACGGGGAGCACCACAACGGGUGGAGCUUGCGGUUUAAUUGGAUUCAACGCCGGAAUCUUACCGGGACCGACAGCAAUAUGAAGGCCAGGCUGAAGACUUUGCCGGAUUAGCUGAGAGGUGGUGCAUGGCCGUCGUCAGUUCGUACUGUGAAGCAUCCUGUUAAGUCAGGCAACGAGCGAGACCCACGCCCACAGUUGCCAGCGUACUCUCUGGAGUGACGGGUACACUGUGGGACCGCCGCUGCUAAAGCGGAGGAAGGAAUGGGCAACGGUAGGUCAGUAUGCCCCGAAUAUCCCGGGCUACACGCGAGCUACAAUGGUUGGUACAAUGGGUAUCUACCCCGAAAGGGGACGGGAAUCUCCUAAAACCAAUCUUAGUUCGGAUUGAGGGCUGCAACUCGCCCUCAUGAAGCUGGAAUCCGUAGUAAUCGCGUUUCAACAGAACGCGGUGAAUACGUCCCUGCUCCUU
rnacentral:rRNA from 1 species